UACAAAUGACUCUACAACCACACUCGACGAUCCAACUGAUUUUACAAACGAUGACUACUCAAAAGUUAAAGGCCCGGAGAAAAGAGGAUACGUUCGAUUAGUUGGAAGGAUGCCAGCCGCAAAAAGUAACACGACAUAUUCACAAACUAAUGAUCAGCUAAAGAGUGUUAUCCAAACUAAUGAUCAACUAAAGAGUGUUGUCAAUGCUAUGGCUAUCAUUAUCCAAGAACAUAUCCCCAAUGCAAAUUUAUCUUCGGUUCUUAGCAGUAUAAACAUGCAGGUCCCUGGUACUGGGUCUUUGGUACAUAACAAUUCUUUAUCAUCUUCAAGAAGUCAAUAUGAUAAUGGGCAAGAAAGUCGUUCGGACAAUUGAUCUUAAAGUUUUGUUCACAUUGCAAUUAAGGGUAGAUAUCAUGAGAAGCUUUGGAGCUAAGUUUUAUGAUACUGGAAUUUUCACCCGGAAGAACGUUUAGACUUCUUGUUUAAAUAAUUGGAAUUUGGAAUAUGUGAAUUAUUCAGGAUGUUUUCCUAACAUUUGAAAUAUGUUUU